UACAGAGGUCUCAAGCGUUGUUCGGAUUCAUUGGGCGUAAAGGGUGCGUAGGCGGCGCGGUAAGUCGGGUGUGAAAUCUUGGAGCUUAACUCCGAACUGCAUUCGAUACUGCCGUGCUUGAGGACUGGAGAGGAGACUGGAAUUUACGGUGUAGCGGUGAAAUGCGUAGAUAUCGUAAGGAAGACCAGUGGCGGAAGGCGGGU
rnacentral:rRNA from 1 species